rnacentral:rRNA from 1 species
UGGCUGUCUUCGAUAGUCCGAGUUGUAAUCUAUAGAAGCGUUUUCCGUGCUGAACUGUGUCUAAGUCCCUUGGAACAGGGUAUCAAAGAGGGUGACAAUCCCGUACUUGACACAAUCAUCAGUGCUCUGUGAUACGUUCUCUACGAGUCGAGUUGUUUGGGAAUGCAGCUCAAAAUGGGUGGUAAAUUCCAUCUAAAGCUAAAUAUUGGCGAGAGACCGAUAGCGAACAAGUACCGUGAGGGAAAGAUGAAAAGCACUUUGGCAAGAGAGUUAAACAGUACGUGAAAUUGUUAAAAGGGAAACGAUUGAAGUCAGUCGUGUUUAUUGGAUUCAGCCGGUCUUCGGUGUACUUCCUUUAAACGGGUCAACAUCAGUUUUGUCCGGUGGAUAAAGGCAGUAGGAAUGUU